rnacentral:lncRNA from 1 species
GCGCGCCCGGUGGCCGUUGGCGCUCGCGCCGCGUCUUUCUUCUCUCCUGUGCCUCCUGAUUGCUGAGUGUUCACCUGGACCUUCUGACUACCUUCCCUGUGCUAUUCCAUCAGCCUACAGACCUGGUACCUGGAUUUUUGCCCGAGAUGAUUCCUACCACCUUACUACUGACGAAGACACCCAUUCCAGUGGACCACUGUGACCCAGGAGGCAUUCAGCCAUCAUGAUGUGGCCUUUACCUCCACUCCUGUCUUGUUCUACCCAGAUUCAGCACAGCCCUUUAUAGUGAAGUCAGAGUCCUCAAGCCAAAUAGCUAAAGCUGUUUUAUCACAACAAAGGCCUAGUUUGUUCCAUGAGUGUGCAUUUCAUUUCUUCAGUUAAAGCCUUCAGAGACACACAAUAAAUUUGGACCAGGGGAUUUUUUAGUUAUUAAUGCUCUCUGAAGAAAGGCAACAUCUUUUUGAGAGCAGCAUUGGACCACACCCCACAAUCUCAAAUGAUUGAAAUUCAUGAACAUCUAGGAUCCCGUGAAGGUCACUGGACCCUGUUUUUUCUACUUCAAAUCCUGUAGUAGCCUACUGAAUGAGAAAACAUAUUCUGACCCAUUGGGAUCAAAUCAAAGGCACAGUGAACUCCUCAUAGCAUCUUCUUUGGAAUUACUCAGGAACCAGAACUUUUUACACAAAUCAUUUUGUGACCGACUUAUUCUUAGAUCAUUGGUUUUCCAAAGGCUUUGUGGCCAUGAAGCCCUUUGAGUGAAAACUGUGCAGAAGCCCAGAGUAAAAGUGAAGCUGCUCUGGAUGAAGUAGUGAAGCAAGAGUAGGGGCCUGAAUCCUGCUACAACUAUCUUCCUUUACCACCGUGGUGACACCUAAGGGGACUUCCUUACAACACCUUGAACUCUUCCGAACACAGUUUGAAAACCACUGCCCCAGACAGCAAUAUGUUUGACCUGAAUGGCAUUCCAAUCUUUUCUGUACCUCCACUCAGCACAGUUCAUGUUCAGUAGAUGCUGAACAUUCUUAGAAAUACUGUGUGUGAACUUAGAAAAGUGCAAGAAGACAGGCAUGUCUUUGACCCCAGGAAUGAUCAUUUGCUGAAGAUGGUGUCAAGUGAACCUAGAUUAACAGCCCUCCACUCCAGAUGGAUAUCCAGUGAUUCCUAGAAUGGGAUAUAGCCAGAGAACAAUUCUAUGCACCCUACACUGACAGACUCCCUUAAGCAACACCAGAUGCUCUACUGGUACUUGAAGUACAUGACUUUGAAGUCUUGACCCUCCAUGAAUACCUGAAUUAUCAGCAAGCGGGUUUUGAAGCUGGUGCCUCAUUGAGGCCAUAUUAGAGCAACUUGUACAUUUGACCUCUUGUUAUCAGCCAUGGUACUCUACUUCGUGUGCAAGAGAUAACUAUGAAAGCCAAAUUCAAAUACUGGCAACAUUUCCUAAAGGGGCUCAAUAUCUAUCAUUCGUCUUCUUUUCCAAACUACACAUCACUGUAUGACUCAACCAGUAGCAGUUAUAUUGCCCCUUGGUUUUUAUUCAGUUUAACUACUGUUUCCAAGAUAAAUGAGCUAAUAAGCUUUAAAAAAAAAAAAAAAAAAGGCUGAAUUCUUUUUUCUUCAUCACUGGCAUAUCUGCCUAUUCUCCAGAAUUAUUAUGACUAUUCAGCUCACUUUAACAGUUGAACUUCAAGCGACAAUCUUUGAACACCCCUUCUCAUGUGAUUUAAAAUGAAACCAUUUGGAAAAGUUUCUUCUAGCCAGUAAUAGAUUUUUUUUUUAAUUGCUCUGCCUUGUGCCGAGAGAUGUUCUUUUAAGAUGAAUCUUUUGAUGUCUGAUACCACCAAAUAUAGGUGGUAGGGAGAGUUGGAGGCUGGCCCUUUGAGCAGGCCAUUAGCUUACUUGCUGGGCAUUUCCGAUAGCUUAUUGCCUACCUUUUUGCUGGAAACAAACUGAUUUGAAAAACAAAAUCUAUGAAGACUGCAGCUAAGGAUUUUAUCGGUAGACUUAAGAGCUUUUGUCCUUGUGGAUAUUUUAGUGGAACCACAUCAGUCUCAAUACUGUCAUUUUACACUGACUCAGAGCAGCUGACUUCAUUCCUUGCCAUGAUAUAUAUUUAAGGCAGGCAUUGUAACAGACAUAAAGACAACUUAUCUGUUUCAGCAGGAAGGAUUCAGUUUAUGAACUCUCAGACCAGAUCAUGUUGAACAAGGAGACUUUGAUGUGUGUCAUGAGAAAACUCAUUCUUUACUUCCCAGUCAAUUUAAAGGCCAGCUAUCCUGAGCUACUCGAAUGAAUGCACUGGUUAAACAUUGGAAAUAGUUUGUUUAUAUCCUUGUCUCUCUCUAGGCCAAUUGUGAUUACAUGACUCGACUCUACAUCUCGUCAAACAAGGCCUAGGUCUGGUUGCUGUAGACUGCUCGCCCUCAACAAAUAAAAUCUGGUUGACUAGCCUCCUUGUAUAUACAACUAUUAUUUGUUAAGAAGAAAUUAUCGUCAAUUUUCUACUACCUUCCAAUUGUCAGCUCUUUUUUUCCUCUCUGGUUUUUCCUAUACUUUACAGAAAAAGACAUUGAUCUAUACUGCCAUUCCCUCUAAUCCUGCCAUACUCAGUCAAAAGGAAUGACUUAAGAUGAAGAUGAUCAUCUGCUCGAGUCUAAAAUAUACAUUGUAUAUAAGAAUUGGUGAUUAGAAAAGCAAAAAACCUAAAACUUAAAUCUAGGAGUCUGUAUACUGUCUCCAUGUCUCCAUGCCUCAGAUCUCAUCUAAAUCUUUGAACAGCACCAUUCAACCAAUCUGAGGCCUUGACUUGCUUGUAAGAUGAUUCUCAGAGAUCGGCUGAGUUAAAAAAGAUGACGACUUGAUUACCAAAGAAAGUAGGGCCAACUUUGACAAAUCUGGCUCUGCUGACCCUGUCACUCCCAGAUGUAGCAUAGACUCCUAAACAGAACCUCAAGUCUGAUUGAGGAUAAGGCCUUCUCCUGAGCUGAAAGUUCUUUGGCAGAUGAGCAAGAAACUGAAAGCUGAUGUACCUGACUGGCUCUGUAAGAUCAGAAAACUGUAUCCAGAAUAAGCCCUAUGGAUUAACCCCUGAGUACCCAGAGUAAAAACUAAUUUACAGAACUUCCUUAUUGAUCUGCUGGUUCUUCCAGAUCAUAUUCUGGCUAUUGGUAUGGCUGGCCUUUCUGAAGGUACCCUGCUUGUCUAUUUUCCUGACUCAGCUCUUGCCUGCCUUUUUCACAUGUUGCUGCAAUUAGACUCACCGUGAGGACUACAGUCAAUUUCAGUCUAUCUUGUGCCCAAUACAACAAGGAUUUUUAAUAGUAACAACCCACACCUCACCCACUAGGACUCAAUGUUCACAACAGGAAGGACCAUUGCUGCAUACUCCUUGACCAGCAACUUUUUUGAAGAUAUUUUUAAGUGCAGAGUAGGCCUCUAUUCCUGUAUGUAAUUGUUCAUUUUCAGCACCUGGAACCUCAUCUAUCGGGUCUGGAAGGAAUACAGCAGUUCGAAAGCCGCGUCCAUUUCUCUCCUUCAGUAGUGCAGAAAUGAGUCCGAUUCACCAGUACACACAGAACUGUACCAGUUCAACCUAGCAAAAGAAGAAAAGUUUCCACUGUACUUAAAAUUUACAGCUGACUCAAAUUGCCUCACAGAAUUAUUUGAUGUAGAAGGCUAGUUGUCUUACUUCAGAUCAGCAGGACAGUUGGGCUCUCAGACUCAUGACCACUGAGUUUGCUUGUGUUGAAACUGUGGUUUCAUCCAACAUAUGCUAUUGGACAUGAUUAUUAUUCCAUUCAAAUGGAUUACAGACUUCUUGAGGACAGGACAAACUUAUCUCUCAUGGUGUUUUUUUAGAAUACUUUUAUAACCAAGGAAGAAACCAUGCCAGCUGUUACCAUUCAACUUCUUAAGCAGAGAUUAAGCUUUUUCAUAUCUGUUCUUAUCCUGGACAUCAGUAGUUUUUAAUUGCCCAGCAUCCGUUCCAUCUUGUAACAACUCCCUGAUGUUUCUUAAAACCACCUCUUCCUAUUUUCAGUCUGUGGUUUGGACAGUCUGACCCAACCUUGAGCUUUGUGGGUGAACAUGUAAUUCAGACCUCAUCAAUCAGCAAAUCCAUCUGAACUGUGGAGGAGAAGCUCUCUUUACUGAGGGUGCUUUAGCUUUGUAGGAUGAAAACCUCAAACUAACAGGGCCUACCAUGUAGAGAAUGAAGCCAGUGCAGGGGAAAGCAGAGCCAAAAUAUGGAGAGACUUGAAUCCUGAUGACAGCGUUUGUGCCCCUGGAUCCAACCGUGCCUGAAGCUAGAAUAUCCCCUGGACUUUUCAGUUAUGUGAACCAAUAAAUACCCUUUUUUGCUUAAGUUACUUUGAGUUGGGUUUCUGUUACUUGAAAUUGAAUCCACACUAAUAUAUCUACCAACAUUGAGACUUGACAGAUCCAAGUAUUUAUUAAGCUAGAGGUCAUGGUCACUGAAAUUACUUUCCAAAGUGGAAGACAAAAUGAAACAGGAACUGAGGGAAUAUUUAAGAUCCCACAGAAGCGUAAAAAUGACAUGGUAGAAAGUAAUAGAAAACCUAAAUGUCUGUCAUUAAAGGAUAGGUUAAGGUGUGGUUCAGCCAUAUAGGAAUAUCUCGUAUCUGUUAAAAUGAAUAAAGUACAUUCAUUGUGUAUGGAAAAAUGGCCAUGAUACAUUAGGUGAAACAAGUUAUUAAUAGAAAAGUGUACAGUGUGAACUCAUUUUAAAAUGUGUGUGCUUAUGUUUAUAAAUGCAUAGAAAGGUCUAUUCACAGCUUUCUUUGAACAGUGUAGAUCACAUGAAACUUUCAACUUUAUACAUUUCUGUAUUAAUAUUUUACACUACCCACAUUAUUUUUAAACUUUAUUUUAAAUAAAGAAUUUUUAAAAUUAAAUUUAGUGCUUACUGUUUGACCUUGGCAAGUUAUUCAACACUGAGCCUGUUUUAUC